rnacentral:lncRNA from 1 species
UGGCUGUGGCUUUCUUUCUACGUCCAUCAUUAUCAAGACACAAGUGGGACAAGUGGGCCAAAGGUGGUACAAGAAACAUAGGACGACCACAGGGCCUUGCCCAAGGAUUUUUUACCCCGGCCGUGGUCUUGGUCCAGAUUUGCCCAACGAUAUACAUUGACCCGGUCAAACAGGGGGAAAUUAUAACUGUAAUACGUGCAUCCUAUCAUAUAAUUAAUCAUAACUACUCG